rnacentral:rRNA from 1 species
AGAGUUUGAUCCUGGUUCAGAUUGAACGCUGGCGGCAGGCCUAACACAUGCAAGUCGAGCGGUAGAGAGAAGCUUGCUUCUCUUGAGAGCGGCGGACGGGUGAGUAAUGCCUAGGAAUCUGCCUGGUAGUGGGGGAUAACGUUCGGAAACGGACGCUAAUACCGCAUACGUCCUACGGGAGAAAGCAGGGGACCUUCGGGCCUUGCGCUAUCAGAUGAGCCUAGGUCGGAUUAGCUAGUUGGUGGGGUAAUGGCUCACCAAGGCGACGAUCCGUAACUGGUCUGAGAGGAUGAUCAGUCACACUGGAACUGAGACACGGUCCAGACUCCUACGGGAGGCAGCAGUGGGGAAUAUUGGACAAUGGGCGAAAGCCUGAUCCAGCCAUGCCGCGUGUGUGAAGAAGGUCUUCGGAUUGUAAAGCACUUUAAGUUGGGAGGAAGGGUUGUAGAUUAAUACUCUGCAAUUUUGACGUUACCGACAGAAUAAGCACCGGCUAACUCUGUGCCAGCAGCCGCGGUAAUACAGAGGGUGCAAGCGUUAAUCGGAAUUACUGGGCGUAAAGCGCGCGUAGGUGGUUUGUUAAGUUGGAUGUGAAAUCCCCGGGCUCAACCUGGGAACUGCAUUCAAAACUGACUGACUAGAGUAUGGUAGAGGGUGGUGGAAUUUCCUGUGUAGCGGUGAAAUGCGUAGAUAUAGGAAGGAACACCAGUGGCGAAGGCGACCACCUGGACUAAUACUGACACUGAGGUGCGAAAGCGUGGGGAGCAAACAGGAUUAGAUACCCUGGUAGUCC